AUACUUACCGGGCAGGGGAGAUACCAUGAUCACGAAGGUGGUUUUCCCAGGGCGAGGCUUAUCCAUUGCACUCCGGAUGUGCUGACCCCUGCGAUUUCCCCAAAUGUGGGAAACUUGACUGCAUAAUUUGUGGUAGUGGGGGACUGCGUUCGCGCUCUCCCCUG
rnacentral:snRNA from 1 species